rnacentral:lncRNA from 10 species
CAAACAUUCAGUGCUGUUGCCAGACUUUGAUUUUCCUGUAUUCUCAAGGAUGUUUUAAAGAGAGAAAGAAGUUUUAUAUUUGGAACUGAAAAAAAAUUGCCAUAAUGUUACUAUCAGCAAAGAUUAUCUGUUUACCUGUCUGUCUCCUCCACUCUUCCCUGAACUCUUUGAGAUACAAGAUUAAGCACAGUACAAAAUGAAAAAGGAGACGUUACAACUGAAACCACAGAAAGACGAAACAUCUUUGGAGGCUAGUAUGAAUAUCUCUACGCUCACAAACUAGAAAACCUGCAAGAAAUGGAUAAAUUUCUAGAAGUAUAGAACCUCCCAGGAUGAACCAGGAAGAAAUAGAAAUCCUGAACAGAUCAAUAAUGAGUAGUGAAAUUGAAUCAGUUAAUUAAAAACUUCCCAGCCAAAAACAAUAAAAACAGCCCAGUACCAGAUGGAUUCACAAUCAAAUUCUACCAGUAGUACAAGGAACUAAUACCAAUUCUUUGAACUGUUCAAAAACAUUGAGGAGGGAAUCCUCCCUAACUCAUUCCAUGAAGCCAUUUUCUCAAACAUAUAAUGUGUAUCUAUUAUAUACUUUUGUGUUAUGGCAAUAAAAAUUAAAAUGGUUAUGAUAAGAACAUUUAGUACACCUUUCUCAAACACUACCAUAUUUCAUAAUUGAAUUUUCUGUUGCUCUCAUCAUCCGGAGAUGAAUCAAAUGUAGAUGGAACAAAAGCUGAAUUGGUUUUAAGAGGUAAGGAACGCUCAUGGUUAAUUAGACCAUUGGUAAAAGUGCUUUUUUGUCCAGUGCCUUGGCAAUAAAAGAACCAAAACCAAAAAAAAUCUUUGACAGGCACUAGGUCUUCUUUACUUCAGGUUAUUAAAAUAUACCAUUGUUUAGAAAAUGCCUGAAUUAAACCG